UCCUGUUCGCUGGACUAUCGCUCGUCCUCUCUCCUGUCCCAUCUCUCUUCUCUAUCCAUCCUCCGUCCGCUCUCUUCCUCUCUUGCGAAUUGCUGCAGCCGACCAGGCAUACGCCUGGCUUGCAGGAGCGCGGGCAAAACGCAGGGCGGCUGUGGGGACAGACACGUGCGAGUGGCCGGAGCCCGGAGCCCCAAACGGGCAAGCUCGAGCUUAGCGGCUGGGAGGAUCUCGUGCAUGGCAGCGGCGGGCCAUGCAGGGUGGUGGCUUGAGGGCGACGACGCGAGUAUCAGCACCGGCGAGCAACCGUGCAGGGCGGCUGGCUAUCGCGGCCUCGCGGGGCCACGGGCAAGCCGUAUCUCCAAGGCCUCGUUUGGUUCCAUUUGUUUAUUUUUAAGUAAGUGUCACAUCAAUAUUUAGAUACUAAUUAGGAGUAUUAAACGUAGACUAUUUACAAAAUCUAUUACAUAAGUGGAGGCUAAACGGCGAGACGAAUCUAUUAAGCCUAAUUAGUCCAUGAUUUGACAAUGUGUUGCUACAGUAAACAUUUGCUAAUGAUGGAUUAAUUAGGCUUAAUAGGUUCGUCUCGCUGUUUAGCCUCCACUUAUGUAAUGGUUUUUGUAAAUAGCCUACGUUUAAUACUCCUAAUUAGUAUCUAAACAUUGAUGUGACACUUGCUUAAAAAUAAGCAAAGGAACCAAUCAGUCUCGAUAUGUACCCGUAGACUUAUCAGUCUUUUCUGAUUUGGUAACUAAUACGCCCGUUUAUAUUUACAAGGCGCCUACGCAUAUCAAUAUUCAAACUUUACAAUUUUUAUCAAUAAUUUACUAUUAAUUUAUUAUUUUUAUAAUAUGACUUUCAUAUGGUUGGAUUCGUAAUCAAAUAUACUCUACAAUAAUCAUACAAUAUAAUAUAAAAUAAAUGAAUUAAAAUAUUAUUUGAAAAAACGUGCCGAG
rnacentral:lncRNA from 1 species